rnacentral:tRNA from 1 species
GUUUUAAUAAUUUAAUAUAAAAUACUAGUCUUGUAAACUAGAGAUAAGACCUUUCUUUUAAAACU